GUGUUUUUAGCUCAGUCGGAUAGAGUUGUGGUUUUCUAAACCAUAAGUCGCAGGUUCAAGUCCUGCAGAACACA
rnacentral:tRNA from 1 species